UGAGGUUCAAUUCUCCUCCUGCUAGC
rnacentral:piRNA from 1 species